rnacentral:pre_miRNA from 1 species
AAAAAGGGGGGGCCUCACGGUUCCCUGGUGGAGGAGAUCACCCUUCGACAAGUACAUUUGUUGUUAUAAGAUGAUAAAACAUGAAUAGUAUUUUACUUGUGACUUAUGUUUUUAAUUUUUUAAAAAAAAAUUCAAAUAAAACGGACGGUCAAAGUUGGGCGCUGAAAAUCAUGGCUGCACUUAAA